rnacentral:tRNA from 1 species
UCCUUGGCGGUUCAGUGGUUAGGACUCCACACUUUCACUGCUGUGGUCCCUGGUUCAAUCCCUGGUCUAGGAA